rnacentral:snRNA from 1 species
GUGCUCACUUCGGCAGCACAUAUACUAAAAUUGGAACGAUACAGUGAAGAUUAGCAUGACCCCUGUGCAAGGAUGACACGCAAAUUCAUGAAGCAUUCCAUAUUUUU